AUUGAACGCUGGCGGAAUGCUUUACACAUGCAAGUCGAACGGCAGCACGGGAGCUUGCUCCUGGUGGCGAGUGGCGAACGGGUGAGUAAUGCGUCGGAACGUGCCGAGUAAUGGGGGAUAACGCAGCGAAAGUUGUGCUAAUACCGCAUACGCCCUGAGGGGGAAAGUGGGGGAUCGCAAGACCUCACGUUAUUCGAGCGGCCGACGUCUGAUUAGCUAGUUGGUGGGGUAAAGGCCUACCAAGGCGACGAUCAGUAGCGGGUCUGAGAGGAUGAUCCGCCACACUGGGACUGAGACACGGCCCAGACUCCUACGGGAGGCAGCAGUGGGGAA
rnacentral:rRNA from 1 species